AUCGAUUGGCGGGAAAGUGCCUCACAUCCUGUCUACCGAACCGUAUGCACGUGCAUCGUAACUGAAGGACGACAACGGCGAUACGGUUGAUGACGACGAUGCGAAGAUGUGACGACAGGGCGACGUCGCCAUGAUGAUGACGAAAGCGAAAAUGACAGCAAUUUAAGAGUGAAGUGAGUAAAUAACUUUUCUAUUCGUGUUAGAAAAACUCAUGAAGAUGAUCAUUUACAGCAGCAACGUAGUUGAAGGCGAUGGCGCUUAAGUUUCUGAAAAUAACGACGAUGAAAAUGUGAAAAAA